rnacentral:rRNA from 1 species
AUGCACAAUUUCCACAAUGUUGAACAUAAUAUAUGCUUUAAUGCUCCUGUGCACUGCUUUAAUGCUUCUGCUUGUUUGUCUGAAUUUUGUUGUUGUUCAUUAAUUUCCUGUCUUCAGGCUGUAUACAAAAAUGUUCCUACUAGGUAUUCUGACGUUGAUUAUCUAAAAGAAAGAGCAAUUCUAACACCAACAAACGAAGUAGCUGAAAAAAUAAACGAGUGUGUUCUAUCUUUAGUGCCUACCAGUGAGAGAGAGUACUUGAGCCGUGAUACUAUAGGGAAUUCAGCUGAUGCGGUUCGUAAUCAGGACGCCUUCUAUCCUGUCGAACAAACCAUCAUUGUAAAUAUUGCCUUUGGCCCUUUCUGCCUUAUCUCCUUCCUUAUGACAAUCUCUACUCACUAUAAAUGCCGCUCAGCCAUGCUGUUUAAACUAUGUCUUGUCGUUGCUGUUACACUGUGUGCGCCUCCGUAUAUCUUCUAUUUACUGCUGGGCUAG